CUUGAGGUCUAUCCCGAUGGAGCCUGGCUGUAGGUUCUUUAUCGCUGGAAACGCCUCAUAGAGCAACGAACUUGUGGUUUCAUUUUACCCAUUAACCUGUGUUUGAUGGGUAUGGCAAAAUUGCAAGACAAUA